GUGCUUGCUUUGGUGGUACAUACACUAAAAUUGGAGCAAUACAGAGAUUAGCAAGGCCCCUGUGAAAGGAUGACCCACAAAUUCACAAAGCGUUCCAUAUUUUC